CGGACGGGUGAGUAAUGCUUAGGAAUCUGCCUAUUAUGGGGGACGGACAUUCCGAAAGGAAUGCUAAUACCGCAUACGUCCUACGGGAGAAAGCAGGGGAUCUUCGGACCUUGCGCUAAUAGAUGAGCCUAAGUCGGAUUAGCUAGUUGGUGGGGUAAAGGCCUACCAAGGCGACGAUCUGCAGCGGGUCUGAGAGGAUGAUCCGCCACACUGGGACUGAGACACGGCCCAG
rnacentral:rRNA from 1 species